rnacentral:rRNA from 1 species
CCUACGGGCGGCAGCAGUGGGGGAUAUUGCACAAUGGGGGGAACCCUGAUGCAGCGACGCCGCGUGGGUGAAGGAGUGCUUCGGCAUGUAAAGACCUAUCGGCAGGGAAGAAGCAAGACGGUACCUGACUAAGAAGCCCCGGCUAACUACGUGCCAGCAGCCUAGGUAAUACGUAGGGGGCGAGCGUUAACAGGAUUCACCGGGUUUAAAGGGAGCGUAGACGGCCAUGCAAGCCAGGGGUGAAAGCCCGGGGCCCAACCCCGGGACUGCCCUUGGAACUGUGCGGCGAGAGUGCGGGAGGGGCAGGCGGAAUUCCUGGUGUAGCGGUGAAAUGCGUAGAUAUCAGGAGGAACCCCGGCGGCGAAGGCGGCCUGCUGGACCGCGACUGACGUUGAGGCUCGAAAGCGUGGGGAGCGAACAGGAUUAGAUACCCUUGUAGUC